rnacentral:lncRNA from 1 species
UCUGCUUAAACAUUAGGUGGAAGAAGAAUUGUUGAUUGUGUUAUAGAGGUCUUUAACCCUCCGGUGACUUCAGACCUUCUGCAUUAGACUGAGACUGCCCUCCAGGAUCUUUGCUACACAUUGUAUAAAACUUCAGUUAUUACAUAUAACUGCCAAGUGUUUGAAAAAGGAAAUAGGUAAGAGACGUGUUCCUGAGAAUGUUACUGGCACUUUGGGUUCUUAUUGUCCCCAGGGUAGAACUCAAGAGACAACAAACGGGAGUAGGAAAGUGAAAGUUUAUUAGCUUGUGCACAGGAGAGGCACAAGGGGGCCAGUGGGGAAAAGAAAGGGGCAGCUGACCAGCUCAUCAGGGAGUGUGAUUGUGGGGCUUUUAUUAGGCAAAGGCUGGCAGGGGUGCCUUGUCAUGGCAUGUAGAGGUGGGGUUGUGCUUGCGCUGGUGCUGUCACAUAACAUGCUACUACAUGCGAUGCAUGGAUCAUUAGCAUGCUAGCUCUCUGCCCCGGGUGUGAUUUUUACUAUGCUAAUAGGGCUGGGGUCACCUUCAGUGGACUCCUGGGUGCUAGGGCGCAUGUGUAAGCCCGGGAAAGUCCCAAGGCUGUGGAAUGUGGAUCUCGGUGGCCUCUAUUUGAUUUUCCUAGCUUGCCAAUUGGUUAGGGGCCUUGUCUUGUUAGGCCAGGGGCCUUUCAGAUGGCCCUGUCUCCUUAGGCUGGUUCCUGUCUUGAGAAGAGGGAGUGUAGUUGCCCUUGAGAGGAGGUUGACGGCGUCAUCUAUUAGGUGGUUGAGGGUAUUAUAUAGGAUGACGUAUGAAGAGGACUUAGCCCAGCACCUGGCAGAUAGUAAGAACUCGAUAAAUAUUAAAUUAUUAUUAUCAUCUGCCCAGUGGUUUCAACCCCCUUGCCUUCAUGUGCCAGCAACACUUCCUGAUUUUCUCAUGUCUCGCAUUUUCUUGGGUCCUUUUAUUUAUCUUAAGUUCUUCUUCUGUCCUCUGAAAUCAUGUGUCCUCUCCAUGUCAUAUCUAAGGUUAAAAAUAUAUUUAUAUUAUGUUUAUAGGUUAUAAGAUAUAUUUAUACUAAUACUCUUGAUUCAAAUAGAGACUCUCAUUGUUUUACAUAACUUCAUAUAUCUUAUAUCUGUUCUUUCUCCCAACUAAAUAUCUCAGUUCUCAAACACACCAACGUUUGCUUUAUCUCUCAAUAUUAUCACCAUUAAUUGAUUAAUCAUUAACCAAUAUCUCUCUAGAAAAGCAGUCAAAUUGCUGUGGGUUAAAGUUGUUUGAAUAGUUCUUCUCUCUGUGAUUAUACCAUUAAUUCACUGUGCAAAUAGAUUCUUUUGUUUUAUUUUGCUUUUGCUUUUUAGGGAAUUCUUUUUAAUUUUGUUUGCAAUUAUGUAAAAUAUUUGCAUAGUUCCAAAGUCAGAUCUACAAAACACAGUGUACCAGGGAACCCUAGUUUCCCUUUUUUUUUUGAAGAAGAAGAAGAUUAGCCCUGAGCUAACAUCUGCCACCAACCCUCACUUUUUUGCUGAGGAAGACUGGCUUCGUGCUAACAUCCAUGCCCGUCUUUCUCUAUUUUAUAUGUGGCAUGCUGCCACAGCAUGGCUUGACAAGCAGUGCUUAGGUCCAUACCUGGGAUCCAGGCCGGUGAAUCCUGAGCCACCGAAGCAGAAUGGGCGAAGUUAACCAUUGCGCCACCAGGCCAGCCCCACCUAGUUUCUAUUGCUAUCUCCUCUACUCUAUUUCCUCCUUCCCCCAGAGGGAGCCAUUUUAGAAAGUUUUUGGCUUAUCCUUCCAUUGUUAAAAAAUACAUAUGUAUUUAUUUGUUCUUAGCUAUAUAGUAGCAUGCUAUGUAGUUUUCCCCAGUUUUCAUUUUGAAAAUUAAAAUUUUUUAAUUGAGACAUUUGCACACAGUUCCACCUUGCUUUUCCUACAGAAUGCUUUAUGCUGGUGAUCACUCCAUGGCAGCAUGUAGAGAUAUUUUUUAUGCCUUUUUUUAUGCUCCAUAGUAUGGCAUAUUUAAUUCAACCCGCCCCCUAUUGUUAGACAUUUAGAUUGUUUCUAGUCUUUUGCUAUUACAAACAGGGCUUCAAUAAAUAGCCAUAUGCGAACACUUUUCUAUAUUUUCGUCAGUGAUUUCUUGGGAUAGAUUCCAACAAGUGGUAUCACUGCGUCAAAGAGGAAGUGCAUAUGUAAAUUUGCUAGAUGUUGCCAACCAUUCUCCUCCAUAGGGUUUGCCUCAUUCUGCUUUCCCACCCACAGUGUGCCAGAAUGCCUAUUUCCCCAUAGCUUUGCCAACAAAGUGUGUUGACAAACUUUUGGAUUUUCGCCAAUCUGAUAGGUUUAAAAAGUAGUCAAAUUUAUCGGUCUUUCCCCUUGAUCACAGCUGGAUUUUUAGCUAUAAUGAUGAAAGUCAUCUUCACUCCCAAGUUAUAGAGCAAGUCAUCCAUGUUUUUCCCCUGGAAAUUCGAAAAGUCACGUAGCUGGAGCGUGUGCAAAAGAGGAAAUCCUAAUCUGAAAUGACUGAGGAACCGAAGAUCCUCCUUUCCACAGAACUCAAGGAGUGGGACCCGAUGGGAACUUGAAAGUUGGACUCCUAUCAGAAUUGAAGGGUCAGGAAGAGCCGGUGUUAAAUUUCCUUCCCAAUCUCAUCAAAAAGCUUAGAACUCCAUCAUAAAAGUUGAGGACCUCGUAAUAAAUGUUUAGAACCCUGUCAUCAAUGUUUAAAAUCUUACCAUAAAUGUCUGAAGCCCACCAAUCAAAACCCAUAUUGCCAGCGUUUCUUCAUGCCAGCCUGUCCUCUCUAACCUCUUCCAUUUUGCCCCAAAUCCUGAAUCAGGGAGACAGGACUGAAGGCACAUGCCCCCUGUCUCCUUGCAGAUCGAUCUCACAGAAUAAAACUGAUUUCUCCCCCA